AGCGAACGCUGGCGGCAGGCCUAACACAUGCAAGUCGAACGAACUCUUCGGAGUUAGUGGCGGACGGGUGAGUAACACGUGGGAACGUGCCUUUUGGUUCGGAAUAACUCAGGGAAACUUGUGCUAAUACCGAAUGUGCCCUUCGGGGGAAAGAUUUAUCGCCAUUAGAGCGGCCCGCGUCUGAUUAGCUAGUUGGUGAGGUAACGGCUCACCAAGGCGACGAUCAGUAGCUGGUCUGAGAGGAUGACCAGCAACACUGGGACUGAGACACGGCCCAGACUCCUACGGGAGGCAGCAGUGGGGAAUCUUGCGCAAUGGGCGAAAGCCUGACGCAGCCAUGCCGCGUGAAUGAUGAAGGUCUUAGGAUUGUAAAAUUCUUUCACCGGGGACGAUAAUGACGGUACCCGGAGAAGAAGCCCCGGCUAACUUCGUG
rnacentral:rRNA from 1 species